rnacentral:rRNA from 1 species
CAGAACGAACGCUGGCGGCAUGCCUAACACAUGCAAGUCGAACGAGACCUUCGGGUCUAGUGGCGCACGGGUGCGUAACGCGUGGGAAUCUGCCCUUUGCUUCGGAAUAACAGUUAGAAAUGACUGCUAAUACCGGAUGAUGUCUUCGGACCAAAGAUUUAUCGGCAAAGGAUGAGCCCGCGUAGGAUUAGGUAGUUGGUGGGGUAAAGGCCUACCAAGCCGACGAUCCUUAGCUGGUCUGAGAGGAUGAUCAGCCACACUGGGACUGAGACACGGCCCAGACUCCUACGGGAGGCAGCAGUGGGGAAUAUUGGACAAUGAGCGAAAGCCUGAUCCAGCAAUGCCGCGUGAGUGAUGAAGGCCUUCGGGUCGUAAAGCUCUUUUACCAGGGAUGAUAAUGACAGUACCUGGAGAAUAAGCUCCGGCUAACUCCGUG